rnacentral:rRNA from 1 species
UACGUAGGGUGCGAGCGUUGUCCGGAAUUAUUGGGCGUAAAGAGCUCGUAGGCGGUGUGUCACGUCGGUCGUGAAAACUUGGGGCUUAACCCUGAGCGUGCGGUCGAUACGGGCAUCACUUGAGUUCGGCAGGGGAGACUGGAAUUCCUGGUGUAGCGGUGAAAUGCGCAGAUAUCAGGAGGAACACCGGUGGCGAAGGCGGGUCUCUGGGCCGAUACUGACGCUGAGGAGCGAAAGCGUGGGGAGCGAACAGG